rfam:Linderina pennispora strain ATCC 12442 DL89scaffold_219, whole genome shotgun sequence.
GUCCGAUUGGCUCAGUUGGCAGAGCGUGAGUCUCAUAAUCUCAAGGUCGUGAGUUCGAGCCUCACAUCGGGCA